AUAAUUCUAGUUAUAAGAGAGAAAAGAAUACAUUAAUUUUAAUUACUAACAAUGGGGAUUCAUGACUAAUACCUAAUUGAAUUCUAAUUAUAAGUUACCAAUUUAAAUAAAAUAUUUCACCUAUAAAAUUAUGAAUAAAGUAAAGAUCCUAAUAUCGUCUUGAAAGAUUACUAUCAUCCUAACCCGAUUAGAAUUGAUUCUAGGAUUUAAAGAGUUAUGAAAUUCAUUUUGGGUGCAUUCUGUCAGAACUGGAAAGUUACAUGAUGUGACAGUAACAACAAAUAAUUUGAUGGACGAAUUGUCAGGUCUUAAAAGAGUGGUACUAAACUGUAUGUAACUAAUACUAAGGGAAAUGAGAUGCUAAUGCCCUAAAGUUCAGUAACUGAUUAGGAAAUUCUAAGACAUGGGGUACUGAUUCAUACAAAUUCAUAACCGAACAAGAAAUGGUCAAACCGAACUGGGCUGACCCAGAUUCGGUCCAACCGAUGCCAUUGACCCAGAUAAGGAGAUGAACAUCGAUGAGUAGCCGGAUUCCAGCAAGUCAACUACCGAUUCCGGCGAACAACAUACAUUAGUUAAACUCGAUCGAAAGCUUGAGUAAAUCAUCCGGAUCAGUUCCUGAUCUAGUUCCGAAUCUAUUCGGGGAAGUUAGAGAUCCUGGGUCGUUCUCAAAGGCCAUGGAUCGAAAUUCUUAUAGCGUCAUUGGUAUCCUCGAUUUUUUUCUGGAAACGGAUAAGAACUUUCAAUCAAAAGACUCAUCCCUUGCAUCGACUACUAGAAACAUUAGUAAGGGAAGAACAAUAAGAAUCCCUUACCUAAGGCAGAACAGAGCAAUGAUUGAUUGGGGUGAUCGACUCUGUAUUUUCGUCGUUGAGCCUCGAGAAUGUCCGUGCAUGAUUUCUGGAAAUGGAGCAACAAGGUAUAAGGUUCGUCCGCCGGUUCUAGGAUUGAAUAGAAUUCAGAAAGAAAGAGGAACGCUAGACUUUUCCCUUACCUAGAACGAGCUCGUGGAUUCAAGUUUCAGUGUCGCCGUCGACGAGAUUACAGAGGAGAUGAUAACAGUUGUUUUCGAUUUCGUGAGAGCAGGAAUAGAUAGGGUGACGAUUUGAUGAUUAUAUAAUCGAUCAGAGGGUGAGGGAAAGGAAAUAUGAAUCGUCAUUGACAAUCCGAAUUUGAGAAAUAAGGGAAUUCGAUCCUGGAUGAUGGAAAUUUUCUCAUCGGCGAUGGAAAGUUGGAAACUGCCUGGAGGAGAUGAUGAUGACAUCAUCAAGACUUCAUGACUGAUGUCAUCAAAUGCAGGAAAAGGGAGAAAAAAUAAAAUAGAGGGUCAAUGUUGAGAUUUAAACACCUGACCUCCAAG
rnacentral:lncRNA from 1 species